rnacentral:rRNA from 1 species
GGGGAAUAUUGGACAAUGGGCGAGAGCCUGAUCCAGCAAUGCCGCGUGAGUGACGAAGGCCUUAGGGUUGUAAAGCUCUUUUACCCGGGAUGAUAAUGACAGUACCGGGAGAAUAAGCCCCGGCUAACUACGUGCCAGCAGCCGCGGUAAUACGUAGGUGGCAAGCGUUGUCCGGAUUUACUGGGCGUAAAGGGCGCGCAGGCGGUCGUUCAAGUCGCGUGUGAAAGCCCCCGGCUCAACUGGGGAGGGUCACGCGAUACUGAUCGACUCGAAGGCAGGAGAGGGUAGUGGAAUUCCCGGUGUAGUGGUGAAAUGCGUAGAUAUCGGGAGGAACACCAGUGGCGAAGGCGACUACCUGGCCUGUUCUUGACGCUGAGGCGCGAAAGCUAGGGGAGCAAA